rnacentral:lncRNA from 1 species
UACAGGUUUUUCCAUGCCACGCUAUUUGUUGUCCACGUAACGCGACCUAAAAGGUUGUUCCCCUCAUCUCUCAUCUCUCCACGCCUCACGACCUACCUAAAGGCGAGGGCGCCGCCGCCGCAACCCCGACCGGAGAUGCUCCAGCGUUUUGACGCGCACGGCCGUCCCCCGCCGGCAUCUGCGCCCCGUACGCCGGCAUGCUUCGGGAUUUCCCGGCUUGCGUCGCCUGUGGAUCGAGGAGCGGGAGGCCCGGAGCGCCUGUCAUCCUUCAGAAAUUCCCCAUGGCAGAGACGGUGCGAUGGUAGCUGACUUAUAUGGUCGGCCUCUGUCGAUGUGUAACGGCAAACUGGUCCGGUGAGUUGAUCUGACUGAUGGGAAGUACGGUGCAUCGCCGCCCUGCUCCGGUAAAUGUUCUAUGUAGACUCCAGGCAGGCAGUAUAGUUCUCGUAGAUCUGUUCGAGGAGCAUCCCUCUAUGGCGUUGACCGCCACAGAUCUGAAGGUACCGGUGGGCGACUCAGAUCUGCAAGGAGACGUGCGGACCUCCAUUACUAGACCCACGGCAAGUGUCUGAUGCAUGCUAUCGGCGAUGUGAUUCAGCGAUGUAAUUUUGUGCUAAUGAUGCGGCUGCGGUGGCACGUUGGCCCGGAUCUAGCUUUCUCAUGUACCCAUCCCUGCCUGGUGCAAUUGUUAGUGAUGCCGCUGCAAAGCCCGGCCUAGAUCUGUUAUAAUAUAUGUUGGUCUUUGCUGAUGAAGGCAGGAGUCUGCUCAGAUGCGUGAUACAGGAGGAUGACCUCGGCUUGCAAGUUUGUUUGGUGUGCAUUGGUUGUAGUUAUACUGCCUCGAGGGCCUUGGAAGCACCAGGAUGAUGCGAUGGUUGCCAGAGGAGAUCAAUUGCUUCACUUGAAGGUUGGGCAGGCCGUUGAUAAAACAGCACCAAGUUAAGUUGAAUGUUUUGUCGAUAAGUCAAGUUACUAAUUGAUUAUUAUGUCUGACGACUUAAACUUGUCUGUGACGGCUGUUCAGGUAAUUAGUUGAAUUAUGUACAUUGUGCUGCUAGCCGUUGUACAAUAAUUAUUGGGAGUUAUAAUGUGUACCAUUGAAAUUUUGUUGUAUCUGCUAUACAUGUCUAUUAUUUCAAAAUAAGCUUUUCAUAUUCAUGAUAUGCAAUUGUAAUAUUUAUCAUGGAAAUUUUUGGUGUGCACUGUUUGAUUAAACGGUGGCUUAGAAAUUUAUACAACUAGCAAAUUUAACACAGAACAAUAUUGCUAUCAUACAAUUGUAGUAUUUUAUAUGAGUAGCUAUUGAGCUAGUCAUGGACACGAGUGCGUGGAAGUUAGCUAUCCAAGUGCUAGAACCAUGAGUUGGUUUCGAGACCUUAUGCGUUUCAGCUCUACCCUACACCAACUUGUACUAAAGGCUCUGUUGUUGUUGUUACACAAUCAUCAUAAUUUCUAUGUGUGCAGCCACUAGAUAGUUAUUAUGUGAAAUUUCUAGUGUAUAUCAUUGCAAAUUUAGUUGUACUUGCUAUCGAUGUCUAUAGUUCUAUAUUGAUGAGAAAAAUGUUGUACCGAUUCAUAAUAUGCAAUUCAAAAUCUCAUCAUCGAAAAUUUUGUAUACAUCAUUUGCCAAAAUGAUGGCUUGAACAUGGUUACUUGUUAUUCAUGUAACUAGCAGAAUUAACCACAAAACUAUACUGCUGUUGUACAAGAUAAUGAUUGUGCAGUUAUCAUACAUUUACCGUUGAUUUUCUAUGGUAUUGAUUUUUUUUGCGUUAUGUCUAUACAAUUAGUUGUACACAAUUAAUUUUUCUAUACCAGUACGUAUGAAUUAUCUUUCUAUACUAGUAAUGCCUAGGACCACCUCCUACCACUAAUUUUUUAAUCGGUUGAGCAAUAGUACUCCAUUAUACGUCCCUAUUUCUAUAAUUGAUUUGUUCAUCUGAGAACUUUAUUCUGCAGGUACGCAUCGGACUCGAUGCCCUUUAUCCCUGCGUAACAUACAAUUGAAGGUAUGCUCAAUGGCCUUGUUGAAUUCCUUGGCAUGCUACUUAUGUUACUUUAUGCUGAAUUAUAAAAAAAUGCACGUUGGCUGUUCUCUUGGUACACCAAAUAGCCUUUGUAAUCUCAUCCAAUAUCCCUCUACAAAUAUAGGUAUGGGUUUAAUUGUAGCUAUGGUUUUUUACUCACACAACCUAAGCUAUUAGUUUUGUGGAGCAUAUGCUCGUAUAUGGUGUUGCUUCGAAAAUAAGGCUAUGUAUAUGACACAACACACCAUAAUUUCUCCUGCAUCAAAUGAGCUACACUUCAGAGCCAAAUCAUCUGCAUGCAUUAGACGCACCUUCUUCAUCACCUCCAAUAUUUUGCGCACACUCAUAUCAGCAACAAGUAUCAGCAACAUCCGUGAGUACUCGUGGACAUGGGUUUUGAGGUGGAGAGUGCAUAUUAAGAGAUGUGAGGUGCUAGGAAUGCUGAAAGUUUGGGACCGCGGUGCUUGGAUGCAUGCGACACAAGGGGGCAUGGGAGCAUUGGCGGUCGAGCAACGGGGUUGGGCCAGGUAACGACGCAGGGGAUUUAUAACCAUGGCGUUUGGGGAUGGCUAUUUGGGGGGAGGGGGGGAGGAUCAAGUACCAUUUCUUUUCCCUUGGUGCUAGGGCUAUGGGACUCAGACCCAAAGGAUUAGUGGAUUGGGUUUGGUAGGAUAGUUGCCAGCUAUAACAAUAAAAAAUCGGAUAUUUUUGGAUACGUCUGGGUAGUAGGGAAACCAUGUCUAUAUCCAUAUCCAAUGACUAAUGUCAUCUGACUGUGCCUGAAAUUUCAUUUCAAACUCCUCCAUUUGGUUGGAAAAUGUGUACUAUCUUCAACCUUACCCACAUACUUUGGCAUUUAUCUUUUGGGACUGGCUAGGGGUCGAUUUUUUUGAAACGUCCGACGUGAAUCCAAUGGCUAGAUGGCCUUGUUCGACCUCCCGAUCUCAUCCACCAGUUGAACCGCUUGGCUGGCAAGCGCACAUGUACCAGCCUUGCCACCCCAUCCCCCCCUCACUGUCGCCGCUCGGCCAUCCCUCUAAACUGGCGAACCACCAAAAUUUUCUAGCAAGCCUACACCUUGAACCGUCUGUUUUGGGCUCGCAACGGCUCAUUCCUUGCCAAGGCCGCCCUUGCCGGCGUACCUGGACCUUGCUUUGCUCGCGACGGCGCCACCGACCUAGUUGGCGGCCUUGGUGCUCCGCGUGCCUCCUUCGUUCCCAAUGCAAAUCGACUGACCCAAAUUUGAAAUUUAGGCAGCCUACUUCUAGCAAAAUUGUUAAAAUCAAUUUUAUACUAAAAUUUGUUUGAAUAUAAUAAGUGCACAUGAUUGAGAAUUUCUAAUUAUGAAACAUUUCUACCUCUGCACUCACGUAAUAUCUAUCCUAAGGAUAUCCUAUUGUUCCAUAUUUUUUUUAGUAUAAAAUAAUGGUUAGUUGUCAAAUGCUCCCUCCGUUCCUAAAUAUAAGUCUUUUUAGAGAUUCCACUGCGGACUACAUACGGAUGUAUAUAGACAUAUUCUAGAGCAUAGAUUCACUCACCAGCUCCUGCAACUCUAGAAUUUGUCACUCCACAAGCAGGUGAUGAUGAUCGACUUGAUGCUAGGUGAUUGGAGAAGAACCACCUCCUUGACUCGUGUUGUGCAACCUCGAUGUCGAGUUACAGUCCUCUAGCACAGGGGAGCUGGGCUUCUUCGCAGAAUCUGAGAGAGAAGGCGUGGCAAAUAGCCAUGUGCGAGGGAAGUGGACGCGGUGGAACAAAACAAGACAUGGGAUCUCGUCGAUCUACCACAUGGCCGUCGACCAAUAGACCUCAAAUGGGUCGAUAAAUUGAAGAAAAAUGAAGGUACAAAGCAUGACCGGUCGACUGAGGUUUUGUCCCGUAGGCCGGCAUUGACUUUGAGGAUGUCUUUGCGCUUAUCGUUGACGUGGAAUGCACUUGGCUGUUGGCCUAUCACUCACAUGGAAUCCACUCCGGCUAUUGCUUGCUUUGGCUGCCUAGGAGGUGUGGCUCUUACCACCACAUGGACCUUAAAUCAGCCUUCUCAAUGGAGAAUUAGAGGCAGAGGUUUAUGUGAACCAGCCACCUGGCUUCAUUGUCGCUGAAGAAUAAAGAAGUUUCGUGGCUACGUAAGGCCCUCUAUGGCCUAUGGGAGGCUAUGUUUUCAAGGCGUCCAGGCGCUUUAAGGCGCUGGGGGGGCGCCUCAACGCCUAGGCGCUCAAAGCGUGAGGCGAGGCGACGCCUUAGACACUUAUUAUUAGGCGCUAGGGGUACUAAUAUGGCAGCCAUGAGUGGACAUGUAACUGAUUCAUACCUUGAAUUUCCUGGUUGUUGAGCCCACAUAGCAUCCAUUCCUCCCAUCUUGUUUCCCAUUUCUGCCUUCCACAAUAGAAAUCUGCAUAAAGAUGAACAUAUAUCAUAUAUGGUUAAAACUAAACUUAAUUAAUAGAUCACCAUUGGUAAAAAAACAGAGUAGAUGACAGAGCAAGUGCAAAACAAGAUGACAAACAUGAGUGCAUUACAUAUUACAUAAACUUGGCCGGAGAGGGGGAUGGCCGGCGGAGAUGGAUCUUGGCCGGAGAGGGGAAGGGCCUGCGGAGGAGGAGCUUGGCCGGACAGGGGGAGGCCGGCGGAGGAGGAACGGAUCUGGGCCGGCGGCGUGAGAGACUGAGAGGAGAGAGCUCCUCUCUCUUUUCCCCUCGAUUUGGAGUCACAGGUGUGUUCCCCUCUCUCUCCUGCCUCUGUUUACCCCCUCUCUCCCGCCCAAUUUCUCUUCCCUCCCGCCAAUUCCUCUUUCUGGCGCGCGCCAGCUGCUGGUUCCCGCUCAACCUGCCCGCGCAUGUCCAGGGCGUCCAAAAUCAAGCAAAGCGGCGCCUUGGACGCCUAGGCGACGCCUUGGACGCCUCAACAGCACAAGGCGGACGCCUUAGACAAAAAACUAAAGCGACGGCGACGCCUUGACGUUCGCGAGCGCUCUGACGCCUAGGCGUCGCCUAGGCGACGCCUAGGCGACGCCUUGAAAACAUAGCUGGGAGGCACCGUGAGCUUUGAACGCGGCGCUUGACUGCAUGCUUAAGGGCAUUUGCUUCAAAUAGAGGGCGUCAGCACGUGAUCUACCAGCGCAUCUUUGGUGGUGAAAUUCAAUCAUUGUAGGCUAUGUAGAUGAUCUGAUCAUCUCUAAUUCGCCCAAACGAGGACUUGAGAGCUUCAUGCAUGAGAUGGAAUCAAAAUGCUAGGUGAGUGACCUUUGCCUACAAACAACAACAACAACAACAAAGCCAUAAGAUGGGGUAGGCUAGAGUUGAAACCCAUAAGAUCUCGCAACCAACUCAUGGCUCUGGCACAUGGAUAGCAAGCUUCCAUGCACAUCCUUCACCUUGGAGAAAUGAUGGUUGCAAUCUUGCUCACACUCCAAUGGAGCAGCCUUAUGUUGUCCAGCACAGACAACAAAAGAGUUGGACACUACGAAGUACCGGUGGAUUGUUAGCUAUCUUGUCCACACAUGGCCAGACCUAGCCUUUGUUGGGUUCGAGGGUUCGUCAGUCGAUUCAUGAAGCGGCUCAUAGGGAGCACAUGAUGGCAGCGAAGUGAAUCUUUCGCUAUGUCAUGGGCAUGAUCUACUAUGGUUCACGCUAUAACCGGAAGACAAAGGAGGCACGACUAAUUGGUUACUGUGACAGUGACCUCGCCGGUGGCAUUGAUACCAAAGAGCACUAGUGUUAAAUUGUUCUUCCUCGGCAACUGCUUGGAGUUGGCAAUCUCUCAAAGCUUGCACAUUCUUCCUGUGAGUCAGAGGCAGAGGCAGAGUAUGUGGCAGCCACAACUGCUGCAGUGCAGAGGAUUUUGCUUGGAGAAAUCUGCCCUGGCUUUAGCCAAAAAUCCAGUCUCCCAUGAGCGCAUCAAACAUGUUGAUCUUCGAUUCCACUUCUUUAGAUGGAAGCAUCAGCCCCAGCCACAUCAAUACUUCAGACCAACUCGCUUACAUUUUGACAAAGUUGCCAGGGCUAGUAAAGUUUCAAGAGCUGCGUGCCAAUUUUGGAUACUCAAGUAGAUACACAAGGAUUACUGAAAAAGGCUUUCGCCCCGCUUUAUAUAUAAAGCAAAGAUCAACCAUGGUCCAAGUACAAACGCACCCCACGACAACACACGCACACACCCAGGGUGGGAUACAUAGGCGCUGAGCGCAGCAACACCACCCCUAACACUACAGGAGCAAUCGGGGUCCUCCACCAUGAACACGCCACCGCGAAGAGAUGGAGCCGCAUAUGAUGAACCGUGUGCAUCAAGGCAGCGCCUCCAAGAAGGUUAUGACGCCAAUGCGCCGCCACCACCCGACUCGGGGGUCAGAGUUUCCCUUGGAGCAACACGAUGACCGAUGGGCCGCCGCCAAAGGAGCCCAGCCGCCGUCGUGAAACAAUCCGAACCACCACCAUGAGCUACCACCACGCUGUGACAGCCCACAUCACCGCCGAGACCCCGAGGAGCAGCCCCGAGUCGCCUUGCAGCAGCUGCGGCACGCCGCCGAAGACGCAGCGCGCCCUGCGGCCAUGGACGUUCGACGCCCCUCCACCCCUAAAGGAGCAGCCUGGCUGCCCGCCACCCCGCCACCACCUUAGCCAGGCUGCCGCCACCACCCACACGCCUUUCGCCGCCAUCGCCCAGAUCUGGGAUGGGGGGGACCAGAUCUGCCGCCAGCGAGGCCCCCACCCCCCGGAGCCCCACGAGUCACCGCAGGGAGGGGGAGCAACACCAACGGGACGCUAGGCCGUCAAGGGGAGGAGGCAGGGCCCGGGGAGGGACCGACGCCGGCGCUGCGAAAGGUCGCGCCCCGCGAUGUACACCUCCAGCGCGCGGGAGAAAGAGGCCCCGCCGCCGCCUACGCCACGCGACCUUUGGCCGGCGACGCCACCGGCGGCGGCAAGGGGAGGGAGACCGGGGCGGGGUUCGAGAAGAGGCGGCGCUAGGGUUGGCUCCCGGAGUUGCCUGCUGGAGCGACUCGGGAGCGACUCACGCGAGAUCUAUCGAUACACAAGGAUUAGUGGGAGAAUGUUAGAAUAAUCCUUGUCCUGUAGUAUAGUAGUAUAGGCUGGUUAGUUUUCCUUAGUAAAGAUAAACUUGCUAUCCUGUAGCAAGCAAGUCAUCGUCGUUAGCACCAGGCUGUCACUGUGCUGUCAGGUACAACCGUUAGUCUAUAACAGACCAUGUACCUCGUAUGUAUAUACUCCCUCCGUCCGGAAAUACUUGUCGAAGGAAUGAAUGCAUCUAGACAUAUUAUAGUUCUAGAUACAUCCAUUUUUAUCCAUUUCCGUGACAAGUAAUUCCGGACGGAGGGAGUACAUCUAUGCAGCAUGAACUGCAGUGCCUUUCAGCAGCCUAAAAAUAGAGUCCAAAAUAAGAAACUGUGCUCUUGCUACUAACACACAUUGUGACUUUCAGUAGACCACCAUCAAUUUUUGUCGCACAAGUGUACACCAGUUUCAAGGGAUGAUCUGACGUAUCAUGAAUAGCAUACAAAUUAAUAUCAUAGGAAUGCUGGAAUCACAAGUAUAGUAUCACACCAUUCAAUUCCAUAAUAUCAUCACAUUGGCCCAGAGGUUUCAUCUUUUUUAUUAUCGUAUAAUAAAUGCAACCAGAUCCAAAAUUAACAUUAAUUAUUUGGAUGAACAUCACAACUCACCGCAAGAACACAUGAUGACCAGUAGUUCACUAUGGCCAAGACUCUUUACCUGAUUAAGAUGCCCUUUACCCUCUAAACUAUGUUCUACCUUACCAUUAAGCUUCACUAAACUAAUGGCUGUCAAACUUGCUGUAAACUUGGACCCGAGGGCCACAGUCAAGGCUUGAUGAUGACAACAGUACCACACCUUAGAGACAAGGAGAAAUGAUAGCUAGAGAUCUGAUAUUUAUCCUAUUAUCUGCUUUAUUCCUCUAUAGGCUGUCUUUAUACAGAGGUCUGAGUGGCUAACAAUGCCAAAGUACUGAAUUGAUGGUGCUACCAGCAUGCUUCUGGUCAACUAAAAUUUUCAAUUACGUGAACUGGCACGUGUUCAUCAAGGUUAGCAUGACAGGUUUCCGUUCACCGGGCUAUUUGCUCGCAUAGAAGGUGGAGCUACUGAACCCUCAUAGAAGCACUAAGAAGCUUACUAAGGAUGCGGAUAAAAUCUCAACGGAGUACGUUCAUAGAAGCACUACGAAGCUUACUAAGGAUGCUGCCUUUAUCCUAACUAUGGGUUGCUGCCCUUGCUACAUACAUCCCUGCCACAACAUAUUGGUCUUGCAUGUCUAGUAUUGGUCUGGGUCAGGUUGGGAUGAUCGUAUGGGCAUCUCUGCCAUAUGAAACAAAUACUCCUUCUGUUCACAAAUAUAAGGUGGUUUGGAUAUUUCUAUAUGGGUUACAUACGGACUGAAAUCAGUGAACAAACACACUAAAACUUGUCUAUAUACAUCCGAUUCAGAAACAAGUUAGAACAUCUUAUAUUUGUGAACAGAGGGAGAUGCAAGUAGUGGGCUGUCACUUCCAGUUUGGGUCAGGUUGGGAUGGUGGUAUGGAUAAAACAAUUAAGUUGGUUGACAGGAAGGCCCAACUAGGUCCUAUGUAUAGUGUGCUGUAUAGUGCAGCGUACGGAUCAACCACAACUUGUUUCUACCCUGGGAAUCCUUCAUUUUAUUUUUGCAUGCUGAUGCAUAUGCAAUUCUUUGGUGCUAUCAAUCCCUGAAACCACGAGCAUAACAAAAGAACUGAACAGUAACUUUGAAGUACUAGGUUUUAAAUUUUUCUUUGCUCGUAUCCCUACCGUCCAUUUUACCGUUCCCGUCACCUGCAACAAGAGGAUUCAAGCAAGUUAAUUAUGCUGCAGGGCCUGAAAAACUAGAGAUGGGAAGGAUUUCACAGAAGAAAUUCGAGACUUUCAAGAGUUUUUUUUUGAGGCAUUUCAUUAUUUAGAAAUGAUGUUAUUCAAGUGUUAACAUACACAUGUUCCAGGAUCUCAACAUACUGUUUGGGAGCAGAAAAUGAGUAAGCCAAACAUUAAAAAGUAUGCCUUUAAAUCGAGGAUAGGUUUAAUAUGUUUUGUUCAAAGUCAAGUCACUACUUUAUCUCCAGACCUAUAAACAAUAGGUCUCAAUUCGGGAGGAAGAACCGGUAUUGUGGUCAGCCCAUGGUAUGUGCUGCUGCAGUGUAAUCUAGGUGUAUUGGAUGAUAAAACAUGUAUAUGAAAUGUUUAAUUUUGCUCAUCUGCCUUAGUCCUAUGUUCUAGAAUGACAAUCUACACCCAAAGACAUGCCUGCUCAUAUUUAGACCAGUAGUAGUCCCUAUACUGCAACACUCUGCACUUUUCUUUUAUCCGUGUUUGCAGAAAAAAAAAC